rnacentral:pre_miRNA from 14 species
AUGUAGUGACACAUGGAAAUGAAAGACUCCCGGAGUGGGGAGACCCUCACUCAAGUCUCGGGAUGAUGCGACCCCCCAAGAACUCACACAAGACC